rnacentral:rRNA from 1 species
AUAUAGGGGUCAAAGAUUUAUCGGUGUAAGAAGGGCUCGCGUCUGAUUAGCUAGUUGGAAGGGUAAAGGCCUACCAAGGCGACGAUCAGUAGCCGGUCUGAGAGGAUGAACGGCCACAUUGGAACUGAGACACGGUCCAAACUCCUACGGGAGGCAGCAGUGGGGAAUAUUGCACAAUGGGGGGAACCCUGAUGCAGCGACGCCGCGUGAGCGAAGAAGGUUUUCGAAUCGUAAAGCUCUGUCCUAUGAGAAGAUAAUGACGGUAUCAUAGGAGGAAGCCCCGGCUAAAUACGUGCCAGCAGCCGCGGUAAUACGUAUGGGGCGAGCGUUGUCCGGAAUUAUUGGGCGUAAAGGGUACGUAGGCGGUUUUUUAAGUCAGGUGUGAAAGCGUGAGGCUUAACCUCAUUAAGCACUUGAAACUGGAAGACUU